ACUAACACCUGGCAGGGGAGAUACCAUGAUCACGAAGGUGGUUUUCCCAGGGCGAGGCUAAUCCAUUGCACUCCGGAUGUGCUGACACCCUGAGAUUUCCCCAAAUGUGGGAAACUCGACUGCAUAAUUUGUGGUAAUGGGGGACUGUGUUCACGCUCUCCCCUG
rnacentral:snRNA from 1 species